rnacentral:rRNA from 1 species
AUUGAACGCUGGCGGCAGGCCUAACACAUGCAAGUCGAGCGGAUGAAGGGAGCUUGCUCCUGGAUUCAGCGGCGGACGGGUGAGUAAUGCCUAGGAAUCUGCCUGGUAGUGGGGGAUAACGUCCGGAAACGGGCGCUAAUACCGCAUACGUCCUGAGGGAGAAAGUGGGGGAUCUUCGGACCUCACGCUAUCAGAUGAGCCUAGGUCGGAUUAGCUAGUUGGUGGGGUAAAGGCCUACCAAGGCGACGAUCCGUAACUGGUCUGAGAGGAUGAUCAGUCACACUGGAACUGAGACACGGUCCAGACUCCUACGGGAGGCAGCAGUGGGGAAUAUUGGACAAUGGGCGAAAGCCUGAUCCAGCCAUGCCGCGUGUGUGAAGAAGGUCCUCGGAUUGUAAAGCACUUUAAGUUGGGAGGGAGGGCAGUAAGUUAAUACCUUGCUGUUUUGACGUUACCAACAGAAUAAGCACCGGCUAACUUCGUG